UGAGCACAAUAUAUCACAAUAUUUUAGAGAGGUAUAAACGGAUGAUUCGUUCUUGAAGAAUUUCAGGAACAUACCUGCUACUGUGAUAUUAGAUUACCAUAUGACGCUCGAUGCUCUGUAUACGUCGGAUAAUACGGAGUCUGGUUCAGUUGUUUAUUGUAGGAGAUGAAAGAUUUUGAAUAAUUUUUAUCUAUUGACAAAUGGACCUUUAUAUUGAGUUUUUAAAAGAAUUGACGACACAGUUUCAUGUCCACCUCAGAAUAUUAUGAGGGAUAAUCCAUAUGAAUAGCCUUGAAAAAGACCAGAAAUAAAGGUCGAAACGUCGGCAUCUCAUUAAGGAUUUUUAUUUUCCCCUGUCCUCUUUGCCACUACAUGG